rnacentral:rRNA from 1 species
UACGAAGGGGGCUAGCGUUGCUCGGAAUCACUGGGCGUAAAGGGUGCGUAGGCGGGUCUUUAAGUCAGGGGUGAAAUCCUGGAGCUCAACUCCAGAACUGCCUUUGGUACUGAAGAUCUUGAGUUCAGGAGAGGUGAGUGGAACUGCGAGUGUAGAGGUGAAAUUCGUAGAUAUUCGCAAGAACACCAGUGGCGAAGGCGGCUCACUGGCCCGAUACUGACGCUGAGGCACGAAAGCGUGGGGAGCAAACA